GACGAAUGCUGGCGGCGUGCCUAAUACAUGCAAGUCGAGCGAAGUUUUUCUGGUGCUUGCACUAGAAAAACUUAGCGGCGAACGGGUGAGUAACACGUAAAGAACCUGCCUCAUAGACUGGGACAACUAUUGGAAACGAUAGCUAAUACCGGAUAACAGCAUUAACUGCAUGGUUGAUGUUUAAAAGUUGGUUUUGCUAACACUAUGAGAUGGCUUUGCGGUGCAUUAGCUAGUUGGUGGGGUAAAGGCCUACCAAGGCGACGAUGCAUAGCCGACCUGAGAGGGUGAUCGGCCACACUGGGACUGAGACACGGCCCAGACUCCUACGGGAGGCAGCAGUAGGGAAUCUUCCGCAAUGGGCGAAAGCCUGACGGAGCAACGCCGCGUGAGUGAAGAAGGAUUUCGGUUCGUAAAGCUCUGUUGUUAGGGAAGAAUGAUUGUGUAGUAACUAUACACAGUAGAGACGGUACCUAACCAGAAAGCCACGGCUAACUACGUG
rnacentral:rRNA from 1 species